rnacentral:rRNA from 1 species
CCCGCACAAGCGGUGGAUGAUGUGGAUUAAUUCGAUGCAACGCGAAAACCUUACCUACCCUUGACAUGUCCGGAAUCCCGAAGAGAUUUGGGAGUGCUCGCAAGAGAACCGGAACACAGGUGCUGCAUGGCUGUCGUCAGCUCGUGUCGUGAGAUGUUGGGUUAAGUCCCGCAACGAGCGCAACCCUUGUCAUUAGUUGCCAUCAUUUGGUUGGGCACUCUAAUGAGACUGCCGGUGACAAACCGGAGGAAGGUGGGGAUGACGUCAAGUCCUCAUGGCCCUUAUGGGUAGGGCUUCACACGUCAUACAAUGGUCGGUACAGAGGGCAGCUACCUGGUGACAGGAUGCUAAUCUCGAAAACCGGUCUCAGUUCGGAUCGAAGUCUGCAACUCGACUUCGUGAAGCUGGAUUCGCUAGUAAUCGCGCAUCAGCUAUGGCGCGGUGAAUACGUUCCCGGGCCUU